rnacentral:rRNA from 1 species
GGUUAAGCGACUAAGCGUACACGGUGGAUGCCCUGGCAGUCAGAGGCGAUGAAGGACGUGCUAAUCUGCGAAAAGCGCCGGCGAGGUGAUAUGAACCUUUGACCCGGCGAUGUCCGAAUGGGGAAACCCAGUGUGUUCCGACACACUAUCGUUAACUGAAUACAUAGGUUAACGAGGCGAACCGGGGGAACUGAAACAUCUAAGUACCCCGAGGAAAAGAAAUCAACCGAGAUUCCCCCAGUAGCGGCGAGCGAACGGGGAGCAGCCCGGAGUCUGAAUCAGCUUGUGUGUUAGUGGAACGGUCUGGAAAGUCCGACGGUACAGGGUGAUAGUCCCGUACACGAAAAUGCACAUGCUGUGAACUCGAAGAGUAGGGCGGGACACGUGGUAUCCUGUCUGAAUAUGGGGGGACCAUCCUCCAAGGCUAAAUACUCCUGACUGACCGAUAGUGAACCAGUACCGUGAGGGAAAGGCGAAAAGAACCCCGGCGAGGGGAGUGAAAAAGAACCUGAAACCGUGUACGUACAAGCAGUGGGAGCACCUUCGGGUGUGACUGCGUACCUUUUGUAUAAUGGGUCAGCGACUUAUAUUCUGUAGCAAGGUUAACCGUAUAGGGGAGCCGAAGGGAAACCGAGUCUUAACUGGGCGUUAAGUUGCAGGGUAUAGACCCGAAACCCGGUGAUCUAGCCAUGGGCAGGUUGAAGGUUGGGUAACACUAACUGGAGGACCGAACCGACUAAUGUUGAAAAAUUAGCGGAUGACCUGUGGCUGGGGGUGAAAGGCCAAUCAAACCGGGAGAUAGCUGGUUCUCCCCGAAAGCUAUUUAGGUAGCGCCUCGUGAACUCAUCUUCGGGGGUAGAGCACUGUUUCGGCUAGGGGGCCAUCCCGGCUUACCAACCCGAUGCAAACUACGAAUACCGAAGAAUGUUAUCACGGGAGACACACGGCGGGUGCUAACGUCCGUCGUGAAGAGGGAAACAACCCAGACCGCCAGCUAAGGUCCCAAAGUCAUGGUUAAGUGGGAAACGAUGUGGGAAGGCACAGACAGCCAGGAUGUUGGCUUAGAAGCAGCCAUCAUUUAAAGAAAGCGUAAUAGCUCACUGGUCGAGUCGGCCUGCGCGGAAGAUGUAACGGGGCUAAACCAUGCACCGAAGCUGCGGCAGCGACACUAUGUGUUGUUGGGUAGGGGAGCGUUCUGUAAGCCGUUGAAGGUGUGCUGUGAGGCAUGCUGGAGGUAUCAGAAGUGCGAAUGCUGACAUAAGUAACGAUAAAGCGGGUGAAAAGCCCGCUCGCCGGAAGACCAAGGGUUCCUGUCCAACGUUAAUCGGGGCAGGGUGAGUCGACCCCUAAGGCGAGGCCGAAAGGCGUAGUCGAUGGGAAACAGGUUAAUAUUCCUGUACUUGGUGUUACUGCGAAGGGGGGACGGAGAAGGCUAUGUCAGCCGGGCGACGGUUGUCCCGGUUUAAGCAUGUAGGCGGAGGUUCCAGGUAAAUCCGGUACCUUGUUAACGCUGAGGUGUGAUGACGAGGCACUACGGUGCUGAAGUGAUAAAUGCCCUGCUUCCAGGAAAAGCCUCUAAGCAUCAGGUAACACGAAAUCGUACCCCAAACCGACACAGGUGGUCAGGUAGAGAAUACCAAGGCGCUUGAGAGAACUCGGGUGAAGGAACUAGGCAAAAUGGUGCCGUAACUUCGGGAGAAGGCACGCUGAUAUGUAGGUGAAGCCCCUGCGGGCGGAGCUGAAAUCAGUCGAAGAUACCAGCUGGCUGCAACUGUUUAUUAAAAACACAGCACUGUGCAAACACGAAAGUGGACGUAUACGGUGUGACGCCUGCCCGGUGCCGGAAGGUUAAUUGAUGGGGUUAGCGGCAACGCGAAGCUCUUGAUCGAAGCCCCGGUAAACGGCGGCCGUAACUAUAACGGUCCUAAGGUAGCGAAAUUCCUUGUCGGGUAAGUUCCGACCUGCACGAAUGGCGUAAUGAUGGCCAGGCUGUCUCCACCCGAGACUCAGUGAAAUUGAACUCGCUGUGAAGAUGCAGUGUACCCGCGGCAAGACGGAAAGACCCCGUGAACCUUUACUAUAGCUUGACACUGAACACUGGUCCUUGAUGUGUAGGAUAGGUGGGAGGCUUUGAAGCGUGGACGCCAGUCUGCGUGGAGCCGCCCUUGAAAUACCACCCUUUAAUGGCUGGUGUUCUAACGUAGACCCGUGAUCCGGGUUGCGGACAGUGUCUGGUGGGUAGUUUGACUGGGGCGGUCUCCUCCCAAAGAGUAACGGAGGAGCACGAAGGUUGGCUAAUCCUGGUCGGACAUCAGGAGGUUAGUGCAAUGGCAUAAGCCAGCUUGACUGCGAGCGUGACGGCGCGAGCAGGUGCGAAAGCAGGUCAUAGUGAUCCGGUGGUUCUGAAUGGAAGGGCCAUCGCUCAACGGAUAAAAGGUACUCCGGGGAUAACAGGCUGAUACCGCCCAAGAGUUCAUAUCGACGGCGGUGUUUGGCACCUCGAUGUCGGCUCAUCACAUCCUGGGGCUGAAGUAGGUCCCAAGGGUAUGGCUGUUCGCCAUUUAAAGUGGUACGCGAGCUGGGUUUAGAACGUCGUGAGACAGUUCGGUCCCUAUCUGCCGUGGGCGCUGGAGAAUUGAGGGGGGCUGCUCCUAGUACGAGAGGACCGGAGUGGACGCAUCACUGGUGUUCGGGUUGUCAUGCCAAUGGCACUGCCCGGUAGCUAAAUGCGGAAGAGAUAAGUGCUGAAAGCAUCUAAGCACGAAACUUGCCCCGAGAUGAGUUCUCCCUGAGACCUUGAGUCUCCUGAAGGAACGUUGAAGACGACGACGUUGAUAGGUCGGGUGUGUAAGCGCAGCGAUGCGUUGAGCUAACCGAUACUAAUGAACCGUGAGGCUUAACCUU